UUCAUUUCUUGCCCAAAAUUUUCAGCAACACUUUCCCUCUUUCUCACUUCCCUCUCUCCACCUCCUCCCACAUUUCAUCUACUUCAUCCCUAGUGGCAUUUAAGAAUCGGAACUGAAGCAUUGAACCAUUUAUGAGAUGAACAAUCCGUGAUCGAAGACAAAAUACCGAGGCGUGUUAGAAUCUUCAUCGGCGAGUUAGAGCUCUAGCACCGUUGUCCAUACCAAGCCCUUUUAUUUUCGUGAUCUUCUCCCAGGCGCAAUAUAUAUCUCUCUCUCCCUCUCCAUUUUCCAUGUCCAUUGUCUGAUUUGGGUAGUUUUAAUUUCCAUUUUAUUAAUUUUGUUGGAAUUAUUUUGGAUGUGAAAAUGGGUUUUUCUCCAUAGAUUGAUGUUGAUGACCGUUUUUUUUUAUACUAGUAAUUACUUGCUUUGUGUGAAAAUCGAAGGAAAAUAAACUCAAAUCAGUUCAACUUAUAUAUCUAUCCUUACAUAUCCUUUGUUUGAUUUUGUAGAAAUGAAAAAUUAACUAAAAUUUUUUCUGUUUUCCUCUUUCAAUUGACUAAAGUGGACCCUUUUAACUUCUCAUGUAAAAGGCUUAAGCUUUAUUGUCCUAUCUUUUCUCAAAGAUCAAACAGGUUCCUAUCAUAGGUAUUCACUUCAUUAUCUUUAAAUCUUUCUUUUUUGUUUGUUAUUUUAUCGAUUAGCAAGCCACCAUUGCAAAUGCCAUUACCAGUGCAAGCAUUAGCUGCCCUGGUUGCGCAUGCCCUUGCCAGUCCAUUUAAAAUAGUGUCCACAUGCAUUUAGUGCUCUGCUUUUGCCACUGCAUCAGCUACUCUGCUUAUACACAUGCUUUGGGUGUUUGGAGAAGUAGAUGUGAAGCUGUGGGUUUGGAUAUAUGUUAGUUUGUGUGCUCCAUACAAUUUUAUAGAAAAAAUUUGUGUGCUUAUGUUGUAGUUUGUGUGAUUUUGCUGUAUUGAGACAUGUUAGAAAAAAAAAAUGCUAAAAUGAGUUAAAUGCUUGCUUUACAUCAUUGAUAACAUAGAUUCCAUGUAACUAAUCUAUGUCAGUGUGGUUCUUAUAUAUAUAUAUAUAUAUAUUUGUCCAAAGAUGAAAGACUUCAUAUAAUUCCUUUUUUGAGCAUAUGAUAUUGUUUGGCAUAUAAUUCCUUUUAUAGGCAUAUACGUUGUACAAACUUAAAUUACCACCAAGUAUUAUUCAAUAAUGUAUAAUAUUAAUAUUCAUUUUCUCAGAAUAUGAUACUGUUUGGCAGAUUAUUAAGGCUUCAUGAUCACAUGAUUAGCCCCUUGCCCAUGCCUGAUAAUAAAUAAGAUGUCCAACACUUUUAUUUCAAUAAUUUUCCAUGAUAUAAUUACUUCAAAACAAUCACCCCCCCCCCCCCCCCCCCCAAAAAAAUAGCUUGUAGUCUCAACUAAAGAUGAGAUGAUUUACACCUCACCCUUUUAUUCCAUAGUAUACCAGUAAAGGAUCCAAGUGGGCCAUUCAUAAAACUAUUAAUAUAUAUAUGUAUAUAUUAUAACAUAUGCAAUUGUGUUGGGAUAAUUGUCUUAGAUAGCACAUGAAACUCAGGAUGCUGACGAUAAAAUGUGGCCUCCCCACAUUGAACACAUUUUAUUGACAUUAUGGUGGAUGAACAAUUGAAGGGGGAUAUGGAAUAUGGUAUCUUUAAGGUUACAACUUGGCAAUCAAUUACAAAAACCCUAAAUGAGCAAAUUGAGAAAAGUUUCCUCCUUAAGCAAGUGAUCCAAAAGCAUAAUAGGCUCAGGCAAUAAAGAAAGUGGGGCCAGCUUUUGAGGCAUACCGAGUUGAGUUGGGAUGAGACAAUCCAAACAGUUAUUGCUUCUAAGGAGGUGUGAACGUAUGUUGUUGUGGAUGAUCUUAAAGCACUUGCAUUACGAAAGAAGGGAUGUCCUAACUAUGGCAAGUUAAGGCAACUAUUUGCCCCUAAUAUUGCAAAUGGUGCCCUUCAAAUUUCCUUAAACACACCAACCCCAGAUAGUGAUGAAGAGUGUGCCUUGGGUUGGGAUGAGACAAUCCAAACAGUUAUUGCUUCUAAGGAGGUGUGAACGUAUGUUGUUGUGGAUGAUCUUAAAGCACUUGCAUUACGAAAGAAGGGAUGUCCUAACUAUGGCAAGUUAAGGCAACUAUUUGCCCCUAAUAUUGCAAAUGGUGCCCUUCAAAUUUCCUUAAACACACCAACCCCAGAUAGUGAUGAAGAGUGUGCCUUGGGUUGGGAUGAGACAAUCCAAACAGUUAUUGCUUCUAAGGAGGUGUGAACGUAUGUUGUUGUGGAUGAUCUUAAAGCACUUGCAUUACGAAAGAAGGGAUGUCCUAACUAUGGCAAGUUAAGGCAACUGUUUGCCCCUAAUAUUGCAAAUGGUGCCCUUCAAAUUUCCUUAAACACACCAACCCCAGAUAGUGAUGAACAGUGUGCCUUGGAGGAGGAGCUUGCCAAUGAGGCUCAUCGUACCUAGUUGGGUAAUGAUGAUUGCUACAAUCCUAACAUAGAGGGCAUAUCUUAAGAUGAUCCCUCUUUUACUGAGCAAACCCAACAUGCGAACAAACGUCCCAUUGAAGAGCCUAUUGGCAAAGGGAAGAAGGUUGCCAAGAAAGGGGAUAGGGCUAGUAAGAUGACUAUGGUUCUUCAAGAGUACACUGCGUUGGCAAGGGAAAUUUUUUCCAACAAAAAGGGAAGGUCUAUUGGUAGCUCCGACCAUGGUGCACAAUCCACUGGUGGUGGCGAUCCUUGCCCCUUUGGGAGAGCUUUUGAAGUGCUGAACCUGUAUGAAGAUCUUGAUGAUGACACCUACGUUAACAUCUCUGAAGUUCUCCAAAAAAAAGAGAAAAUGGUGGUGUUCAUGGGCAUGCCAGAGCAUAGGUGGAGGAGGUGGAUGGAGUGCUAUGCUAAUCAGCCAAAUGAUUAAUGGAGACUCCUUUUGUUAUGUUGUUUAUUGUGAUUUGGAUGUGAAUCACUUGGUUGUAACUUUUAAGUGGUAUUUAAGGACUUUAUGUGUGUUCUUGGACAAUCUUGGACGUUAGGUUUUAUUUGUCUUAUUCAGCUGAACACUUUUACUUAAUGUUGUUUUAUUGUAA